rnacentral:lncRNA from 1 species
UCGUUGUAGAUAUUGAUCUGAGUUAAGGUGCAAAAGUUUAGGGCUCAGACACUCCCACUGUUCUUGUCGAGAUCAUUCCGAUCGAACCUUCUCUAGGCACGAUCGGCAAUCUCUCUGAUUGAAGCAGGGUUUGACACCUAGCUUGUUGGAAUAGAGAGAAACUUACUUGAUGUAGAGCCACUUUCGGGUGCAUCAGGGGUGCCACCUGUUGAUGUUGGAGAUCAGGC